CGGCAACAGCUCAAAUUUGAAAUCUGGCUCCCUCGGGGGUCCGAGUUGUAAUUUGCAGAGGGCGCUUUGGCGUGGGCCGUGGUCUAAGUUCCUUGGAACAGGACGUCACAGAGGGUGAGAAUCCCGUACGUGGCCGCCGGCCUCUGCCGUGUAAAGCCCCUUCGAC
rnacentral:rRNA from 1 species